rnacentral:rRNA from 1 species
CAGCCGCCGCGGGAAUACGGAGGGAGCUAGCGUUGUUCGGAAUUACUGGGCGUAAAGCGCGCGUAGGCGGUUACUCAAGUCAGAGGUGAAAGCCCGGGGCUCAACCCCGGAACUGCCUUUGAAACUAGGUGACUAGAAUCUUGGAGAGGUCAGUGGAAUUCCGAGUGUAGAGGUGAAAUUCGUAGAUAUUCGGAAGAACACCAGUGGCGAAGGCGACUGACUGGACAAGUAUUGACGCUGAGGUGCGAAAGCGUGGGGAGCAAACAGGAUUAGAGACCCCGGUAGUCCCUGUCUCUUAUAC